CUGAGCUCACACUAGUUAUCCAGCCGCUCUCCAGGGCUUUGAGACAUACAGCUGAAGCUGAUAGUCCCUCCAGGGAUUAUGGAGAUGAAUGCAGGGACUGCAAAUAAAGCUGGUCUCAGAUCAGUGGCUGAGGACGAGCUCUUGCACCACAGCCAUCACUAGAAACCCUCUCAGGUUUAUGCAACCGUUCUGGAAGGCAGAUCUUUAUAUCCACACUCCACGGCUGGAGGAAGUCAGAUGUUAAACAGGAGCCUCUUAUAUUCAUCCCCUCCAGUCAGCAGUGUUGUGCUCACUGGCUCAGAAGUGUCAUCGAGUUGUGCGUCUUUGUUCCCGUGCGGGGGCUCUUUGUUGGUGAGAACCUGGUUGCACAUGGUACGGAUUUUUCUGAUGCAACGAGGAGUAGUGGUGUGAAAUGGAAAAGUAUGGGAGGCACACUACAUCACUGAGUGCCUUGGGCACUUCACCGAGCUGUCAAAAUCUGUCAUGAUUUGUGGAAAGUGAGUGAAUUUGGAUGGAUGGAUGUUAAAUUUCAAGUCUCGAAUGAUGUUUCUGUUGAAAAUGUACUGUUA